rnacentral:tRNA from 1 species
GCAUUCGUAGCGCAAUCGGCUAGCGCUUUUGGUUCUUAACCGAAAGGUUUGUGGUUUAAGCCCAGACGAGGAUG